GUGCCUCUCUUGGAAUCAUAGAGUUGGAAGGGACCCUGAGGACCAUCUAGUCCAGGAAUAUGUAGCUGUUCCAUACGGGGAUCGAACCUGCAACCUUGGCAUUGCCAGCACCACGCUCUAACCCACGCAUCCCCAAACUUCGGCCCUCCAGAUGUUUUGGACUACAAUUCCCAUCAUCCCUGACCACUGGUCCUGUUAGCUAGGGAUCAUGGGAGUUGUAGGCCAAAACAUCUGGAGGGCCGCAGUUUGGGGAUGCCUGCUCUAACCAACUGAGCUAAUGUGUCCCACUGAUGCUUAUCUUAACUAUUUGUUUUGUCAUGGCCACCUCAACUAAACAUAAGUGUUUGAGAAAUGAGGGGCAGAUUUACCAGAGCCAGCUAUUCACAUUAAAAAAAGAAACACCCUUUAUUGCAGACAACCUUUAUGUGGUCCGCACAAAAAUUUGCAGAAUUGUUUUGAAUGCUUAACUAUGCAGGGUAAAUCUAUGUACUAUUCAAUUGUUGUCUGUGAUAUGUAAUUCAUUUCUCUCCCUCUCUCCUCUCUUUUAAUAAGGAAAACAGCUAUACAGUAUAAUUCAUGAUGUUUAAGACAGAGACCAGGUUGAGAUGUCAUAUUUAUUUUAAUUUUUAGUAUAAUGUGUGAGAGCAGUGUCCUGAUUUGCUCCUUCCCUGCUCCUGCUUGCGCUAUACCAGAAAGUAAGGUGGAUGAGGAGGAGAAACAGAGGUUGGCUUAGCAUUGUGCAUGACACAGCAUUUGUGAUUUGUUUCUUUCAAGCAAACCACAGUUGGGGAAGCCAAGGCUGCUUUUAAGCAAACAGUGGUUUAAUGUGACACGCAGACCACCUCUUCUGUCCCUUGCUGGUGUUUCUAAAGCAAAGUUCUUUUGAGUUUUCUAUCUGGUUGUACUUUAAACUUUAAAGAAUUUGCAAGCGCAGGAUCACAUGGGACUGGCCAGUUCUGUGUGACUCAGCAGUUGUCAUCUUAAUGUUCAGGCAGUAGAAUUACAUCAUGGGAAGUAAACUUUUCUGAGUAAUCUACUAUGCAAGAUCCAUCUGUCGACCACACCUGUGUGCAUGUGUCUUUCCUUUCAUGAAUGCCAGAGCGUUUCCUCCCAACCUCUCACUGACUUUGUAAAAGCAAAGAAAAAGAAGUGGGGGUGGGGUGGGGGGAGAGACACGUCUGUGCUUAUUAGCCCUUUCUUGUGCAGCAGUAAGCAGUUGUCAUAAUUUGCAGCUGUCUGUAUGUUACAUUUGCAUUUUUGCAAUUGUUGCAUAGCAUUUGGGCUCGGUUCAAAAGUGCUGGUGCUCACCUUUUAAAAUCCCGAGUGCCUUAAGACCCAGGCAUCUGCUUGACUCUUGGGAGAGAUCUAGCAUUGUGGACCACAUGCAUUGCACAUGGUUUUGCACAUGUGGCUUUUGCAUGUGCCGCUACUAAUCCAGCGGGUGAUGGAGAAGCAGAAAUGUGCUUUCACAAGCUAAUAAUCACUAUCUCUUGAUCAGGGUCUGCCUGAUCUGCAGAUAGUGUACUACGAAAUCAUGUAUUUCCCUUAUGCUUGAUCAGUCUGAAUUCAAACUUUUUUUGCAACUUGAUUAAAGGGCACUGGUUCAUUAGCUAUUAGAACGUCAUUCAAACUAUUUGUCCUUUAAACUAUUUGGCAGCUUUGAUUUUUUUUUAUUUAAAAAAACAACCCUCAGAGUGUUCCUUAGCAAAGACAAUGUUUAUAAGACUGACACCGAAGAUCUCUGGUGACAGAUCAAGUGCGAGGUUUAAAAUAUGUUUUUUGAGUGCAAAUGAAUAAAAAGGGGAUGCAGUACAUAUUAGCAAGUGCCCCAUACAUUGGAAUCUGUUGCGUUUUCCCAGGACCAUGUAGGAAUCUUGUUAACCAGUGCUUAAAACGUGUUGGUGUCAUAAAACCUAUCGUUCACCCAAAGGCCAGAACCCAGUUCACAGAUGUUGGAAUGGUUUGAGUCUAUUUUGGGGACUGAAUAGGGUGAAAAGGCUGGGUUUGUUGAAGAGUAGAAUACCUUCAGAGGCCUUUUCUGCAAGCAAUACCAUGACUUCAUUACCAUGUCAAUUCUGGGAAAGGCCUCUGAUUUAACACAGCAGUUGGCUGAAUCCAUAUGGAGCUGAUGAACCUCUGAAUGAAUAGUGAAUGGAAAAACUGCUGGAAUCUGCUUUCAGCUUUUUGUUCCCAGGAUGACCAAUGUAAAAGAGCUAAGGCCUAUACAACACAGAUGGUAUAAAGGAGUAAGAAUCCUGCACCUUUUAAAUUUGGUCUUUCAUCCUGCAUUGUUCGGGCGUCUGUAACUGAAGUAUAAAUACCAAGGUUCCCAUGUCUCUCUGCCCCCGCCCCCCACACCAAGAAAAAUAAUAAUUCUGGGUCGGUGCAGGCUACCAUUCAAGUCCAACAUUUUGUAAAAUCUGCAUACGUAUUGUAGCAAGUUACCAUUUGGUAAUUGGUCAUCUGGGCUGAUCGUCUGCUUGACUAUUAUUAUUUAUUGUCUUAUGAAUGAAAGCCAACUUGUGGGGAAAGAGGGGUUCAGAGCCAGCCCCUCCAAGUGUCCCUGUUUUCCAGGGACAGUCCCUGAUUUUCAGAAGCCGUCUCAGUUUCUGAUUUGAUCCCAUAAUGUCCCCCUUUUCCUCAGGACGUCCCUGCUUUCAUUGGAGAAAUGGUAGAGGGGCAUGGUAGGGCACCCAUAUUUUCAUCAGAGAAAUGUUGGAUGGUAUGGAGUUAUGCAACCCCCCCAAGCCAAGGAGAUAAGUAACUAUACAACAUUUAGAAGACAUCUGAAUGCAGCCCUGUAUAGAGAAGUGUUUUUUCUAAAUGUUUAUUGUUUUAUUAUGUUUUUAUAAGCCAUCCAGAGUGAUUGGGGCAACCCAGUCAGAUAAUAAUAAUAAUAAUAAUAAUAAUAAUAAUAAUAAUAAUAAUAGAUGUCCCUAUUUUCAUCGGAUAAAUGUUGGAGGGUAUGAAAACCACCAGCAGCCUAUACAGUGGUACCUCGGUUUACGACGACGAUCUGUUCCGGGGAGCCGGUCGCUCCCCGAGUUUGUCGCUCCCCGAAGGUAUGCUUCUGCGCGUGCGCGAAGCGCUGAUAGAGCACUUCUGCGCAUCUGCGCGCGCGGAACCCUGAUGUAAAUACUUCCGGGUCCGCAGCGGUCACUCUCCGAGUUCUUCGUAAACGGAGGCGGUCCCAAACCGAGGUUCCACUGUACACAGCAAAAGUGGUGGUGUUUUAAAAUGCAUUUUGUCCAACAGCAGACCAAGCAAGAAUGGAAAUGUGAAGUGUGAAAAGCCGGGGAAGGGAGUUCUGGAAUUCCUUCCGUUCACACUAUGUGGUGGGAAUAUGCAGAUGUUCCCAUUGACACAGCCAUGUACGUCCACUAGGGUUACAUGCCUUAAGAGUUCGACACAUUGCUGCAAGUGCCAAUACAGUAAAUCAAAAGGCUCUGUGGCAUUAUCUGGUUUCCUUUUUGGCUUGAGAAGUUAGAACAGAUGUCACCAGAGAGGACAAAAUGGAUUUUACCCACGGAGAGGAGCUUUAUUGCCGCUCUUUAAUAGGAAGUUCCUUGAAAUGCUAAUGGACACAGUUUGUGUUGCUGGGUUUGCAUACAGAGGGUGGGAAACGAUCCUGAUCCCUAAGAGGCGGGGGGGGGGGAGAAAGAGAAAACCCUUUUGUUAUUAAUCAAGGAUAUCUGCUGCUUCAACAGCAAAGCACGUUAAACGGUGCGGAGACAGAUCUCUCUCUAGCAAUCUCCUGCAAACACACAUACACACAAACUGCUGAACAUUUUUUGACAAGAUAGGAUGUACAUGUAUCAUAGCUCCGUUGAAUUUGCAAAGAUGUUUUGCCCCCUUCUUAUUGCACAGAGGACACACACAGUGAAACAGCGUGGUGGGUUGCCCCCCCUCCUACUCAAUAUUCCAAUUCUUGUUUCUUUCAGCAAUCUGAGAAUUCAAGACUGGCUAAGCAUCCUUUGUAGGCCAGGCUGUUCUGUAUAUAAAGUCCUGGCAGACUGAGGAGGAAAGAACCCACCAGAGACAUUGCACUUGCUUAAUAUCGGUGAUGGUGAGCUCCUGUUCAGCGCCUGUGUGCUCUCAGGCAUCAAAGCACAGUGCUGUUUUCUUACAGACUUCCAAGAGAACAAGUUUAGUUCCACUGUUCAAUGUCUGAAAUCAAGGACCAUGCAUAUUAUUCCUCAGAUUUUUACAACACGUAAAUUUCAGUCAAAAAUGUUUGCUUUGGCAGAAAUAUUUCUAAAGUUACUGGGGGAAGUGAAAUUAAGUACAAUAAAUUUCCCGCAAAAGUAUUGUUACAUGCCACCCCAAUAUCAGCAACAGUGUGAGAUUCCAGUGGUACCAGGCACGCCUACCAGGGUCUAUGUUUCCUUUUGGAAAGUGAGGCACAGCAGAGACUGAUGUCUUAAUGGCAUAUGGUUUAUUUACACAUAUGUCAUUGCUGUGUGCUGAUGGGUCAUUACCUCCAGGCAACCACCUACAAGGAAAUUAAUCUGCCUUGAUUAGUUCUUAACCCAUGUUGAUUCCCUAAGAUUUAGAAGUGCCUAAUACACAGUUUGGGAAGUUAGCUUUUCACACAUGCUAAUUCUGGAGGGUUAAAAAGGCUUAACACACAGCCCAAAUACACACAGGUUUAGCUAUCAUCUCACACAGGAGACUAGCCUCUCCCAAUUAGCUUUUGACACCCAAGCUUAAUUGAAUUCUAGCACCUAUUGGUCCUAGGGAUUUAGGAAAAGUCUAGCACCCACAAGCUCAUCACAGUAUUUUAAAGGUGCACAUGCUAAGCCUUUUUAAAGCAUUGACUGUAGGCACACUGAACACAAAUGAAGGAGUGGGAUUGUGGCAGCAACCCUUGUUCUUGACCACAUGUCCACUUGGCUGUUGGAACUGACCCUCCACAAACAUAUUGACUUUAUGCACAUGGCCACUGUCUGCCUGUGAACCGCUCCAAAAUCUCCCUAGAAUUGCUAAUAGAACAAGUUGCUCUGAGGCAGGAAACUCUCUGUGGCUAUAAUGCUGCAUUUCAUUUCAUUUUUUACCUUUAUGAAGUUCAGUAAAUGAUGGGCUGAUAUUGCAGCACCCGUCCAAAUAGUUUCUGGGACAAAUUGCCUAUUCUGUUGUUUGGGGCUCUGCUUUCACAGUGCCUAGAUUAGCAGGCCAUUCUCUCCAACGCCAGUGUCACACACAAUAACUUCCAGCCAUUUCAAGAGGGUCCCGGGGGAUCCUCAGGCAUCAUGCUGAUGUAGAAACUCCCAUUGAACAAUCUCAAGGUUUAUGUCUGCCUAAGUCUCCACCACUGUACCACCACUGGUCAUUGAUCAGUGAUAGCAGCUAAUAACUUCAUGGGCUCUCGUCUUCAGCAAGCAUGCUGGGGGCUUAGGAAGAGCCCAGCGUUUGUUAGCUAAGAAUGCUAAAUGUGCCCACAGCAUGACCUUCAUGAAAAGUAUUUCUGCUGGAUCCUUCUCGCAGUCACAGCAGUUUGCUAGACUAGUCUAGUAAAUUUCGGAAUAGAGGGAAGCCAGAGAAUGAGGAAAACAUUAAUGCAGAGGCUAGAUACUUUUUCCUUUCCUUUGAUGGGGUCCCUACUUCAGGUUAUCCGUUUAAAUGGCAACACCGCUCUGCAAGAUUGUCUCCAUUUCUAAUUAAAAUCAAAAGGUUUCAUUUCAGCUUUUGUUAAAGCUCCAUUUGUCUUUCGAGCUGAAUUUCUUCUAUAAACAUCUAUUCUGUGAUUGUGAGCUGAUCCUAUUAUGCUACGUACUGCUGCUUUUUGGUGGGUGUAUAUUUGUGUGUGUGUGUGUAUUUGGAUCAACGCAGCUGCCUGCAUCUUUUGGACUCUCUUUGGGAACGUGGCUAUGGGGGCGUCACGACGAGCUUCUACACUUCAGAAUUUACCGCUCCGUCACUGUAUUUAAAACCCCAGUUCAAGAAGCUUGAUAGCACAUGUGGUUACAUUUUCUAAGAAGAUGGUGCGGAGGUGUUUCAACAGAAGAGAGAGAGAUUGGCUCCUUGCACAUUCUUUAUUAGGAAGUGGUAAGUAUAUUUGUCUCAGUGCAAACCAAUACCUAUUUCUGGAAACAUUGGUUUAAUACUUUUUCCUCUAGCAGAGAGGAUGUUUCAUUCUAUAGACGGUUGUCAGAUGCACUGACACUGUUUUCUUAAAAAGUCAGAAAGUUGGGUGUGCGUGUCCCCCUGCCCCGGAACAACUUUUGUCCUAUCUCUGGAGACAAAAAUGAGCAAACGACAAGACUUUAAACUCUGUGACCCAGUGAAAAAUCAAUUUGGGGCACAUUUCCCCCGGAAGGUGCACCCUACUGCUCAUCAAAUAUGGUGCAGUAGCGCCUCUGAGAACUUUGAGAGACUUUUUCCAAUGCCCAUUUAAAGAACAGAUUCCUUUCUAAUAUUUCUGAAGGGGUGUGUGUGUCCAUGCACCAAAUUUACAAAUUAUGGGGUGUCCAGAGAAAGGUGGUUUGUGGUGAUCUUAUAGCUAUAGGACACUGUUGUUAACCACUGCAACCAAACCUUUGUGACAGGUCAAAGCAUGCAUUUAAAAAUGGUGUUGCCAACUUUUAAAAUUAUUAUUUACUUGCGCCUUCGUAAACUACCCGAUCGCAUAGAAACAAAACAAGCCCUUUAACCCCUUCUACAGCUUCUUAAUUCAUAGUUGUUUAAUUCAUUUGGUCAAUGUGAAACCCAUUAACAGUUGGUGGGUCCUUUCCCAUGAUGAAUUUUAAUUGUUCAUAUUCUCUGUAUUAAACAUUUAUUUUAAAAAGCUUUUUUGGGUGGGUGGGAGGAGUCCUUUAAAUUGGACUGAAGAGGACAUGCACGGUAAGGGGACAGUCGGAGAGAGAAGGGGGGGGGGUCCUGGCAUGAAAGGGUGCAAAGAAAGGGUCUCUCAGGGAGAAGAAAUAGGCUCACAGGUGGGAGAUGGGAGAGUCUGCCUCUCUGCGUGUGGUUAAAUGAUAGGAUAAAUAUGAUAAAGGGCCUUACAGUUUUUUCUCUUUUUCUCUCUCUUUCUCUUUCUCCUCUUGCUUUUUCUAUUCUUGUUCUGUACACUAGUCUGAUUCUUACUGUAAUUUAUGUCAAAAAUUCUCAAUCAACAUAUUUCUUAUAAAAAAUGAUUUUAGACACACUGUUUAGAAAUUCUGAAUAUUAAGGUUUAUACAAAUACAGUGUGGUACCUCGGUUUUCAAAUGCAGUCCGUUCCUGAAGAUGGUUUGAGUUCUGAAACGUUCGAAAACUGAAAACUCAAUAUGGAAGCCUCAGUACGGAAAACUCAAUGCAGAAGCCGUGUGGCAUGUUCGACUUCCGAGACGUGUUCGAAAACCGAAGCAUUCACUUCCGGGUUUAGGGUGUUCGAAAACCGAAAUGUUCGUCAACAGAUACCACUGUAUCUGAAAUAAUAAAUCAGAGGCCCUGCUUCAGUUGACCAUUCAUGGUUUCCUCAGAGAGUUGUCUUUUAAAGCAUGGCUUGCUUUGUAUUGUUAUCAAGGCAAAGUCUGGGUGAAUAACUUCAAAUUCGUUUUUAAAUUGUUUCCCCCACAGACUUUUAAACUUGUAUUGUUCUCUUCCACUUCUUCUCCCCCUACCCUUCAAACUUAUACUGUUAGGUAGCACCCUAUAAAAGUUGCUAAAACUCCAACACCUAAGAUGGCCUCAUAAACCCUGCGGACAUUGAGCUCCUAGAGAACAGAUUGGAUGGGUAAAAAUUAGUGUGUGUGUUCUCGCAGAACCUGAGAAAAUAGCACCUUCACUUAGUUUAAAAAAAAUAUCUGUUUGUGCCACUCUAAUAAUCACUUCAUAACUGGUGGGAUAGCAGAACAUAUGUCUCUGGAGUGGCAGAACAGAGAAGGCUCCUGUACCUCUGUUCCCUGAGAGGGAGAAAUACCUUUUGCAGCGUUUCUCUUGCAAAUUCUGUGCCAAAGGGCUCCUCUUCAGAAACUUCAACUGAAAUGUAAAUUGCUCAUGAAAACCAAAUGAAAUGUUUGUUGUUGUUUUUAAGGGUGAGAUGACGUGUAUAUUGAAAUGCUAUUUGACAUAUGUCCCAACUGUCCUUAUUUACUAAGAGCAGUCAUUAUCCCUGGUGCGUGCCACCGCUAAAAUGCUGGAGAGGUGUUUUGGGAGGGUUUUAAUUUUGCUUUUUUGGAGAGCUACUGAGGUUUCUUUCUUUAAUGUUGUCGGCAAGCAUGCAUAUGUGCCAGAGACCAUCAGGUUUUCAGUUAUGUCUCCUGAGUCUUACAUACCCCAGAGUCGUCUGCGACUGGACCUAACCGUCAGGGGUACCUUUACUUUUACCUUUAAACAUUAAAAAAACCUUCCCUAUACAGGGCUGCCUUCAAUUGUCUUUUAAAGGUUGUAAAGUUACUGAUCUCCUUGAUUUGGGGGGGGGGUGUCACACAACACAAUGCCCCCCAACAUUUCUCUGAUGAAAAUAGGGACUUCCUAAGGAAAAGCGGGACAUUAUGGGAUGAAAUCAGAAACUGGGACAGCUUCUGUAAAUCCGAGACUGUCACUGGGAAAUAGGAACACUUGGAUGGUCUAGUCUUGACAGCUCAUAGAACAAUAUAGCUGAGAUGAUGGAAUGACUGUUAACUCAUGCAUUAUGCUGAAGUCAUUGUCUUGGACUUUUCCCAGCAUUGACAGUUGUGUAUGUGUGCAUGGAGAAGGGGUGGUAAUUCUUACAAUUUUCAGAGGCAGAUUUUUUUUUAUUUUAAGUAAAGACUGGCAUCUUGAGGUGGCGGCAUCAUUUAGAUGGUGCAAAAAACUCAAGUCCCUGAGUGACACCAAUUAAUUCCACAAUCAACCUCUUAUGUGGAAGGGCCCUAACAUGGCUACUUUCCUGGAAAUGAGUAAAGGCUACUCGUAAUAGAAAGACUGGCAUUCUUGGGCGAUACCAGACAAGGGCUCGGCUGACAUUUUUCAAAACCCAUAUAAAUGGGGACUCUUCGAAUGGUUCAAGGCUGGAUUGUUUUGAAGUUUCUAGUAAAUGCAGAGCUGAGCUGGAAUGCAAGGACUGUCUGCAAGGCCAUGGUGGGUAGCUUUUGCGGUGACAGCAAAAGUAUCUUGCUUGUUUACUAUUACAAAAUUGCCUCGGUGAAAAUGUUUAAAAGAACAUUCCCAUUCGCCUUUUGGGCCCUGCACUGAAAUAGUACGUACGAAGGAAAUGAGAAUAAUUCAGAGCAGGGCAUAGCUGAGGAGAGGAAAGCUGUUCCAGAAAGCUGUAGAAACCGAGGGUGAUUCGAUGGCUUGUAAACAACCAUAAAGACAUAUUUGGACUGGCCUUGGGUGCUGCACAGCAGGAGGAACUGAAAACAGUUGAUGUGGGUUGAAGGCAGGGCAAUAAUAUACACCCACCCACAUGUCACACUCAAGGGUAGACCCAUUAAAACUGAUGAACCGAAGGCUCUCGAUAUUUAAAAACUUGUAAGAUCUCGGGUUGAAGUCCAAAGGCGUUGUUGCAGGCUAAUAAACAGAUUGCAAACUAAACAGUAAGCAUUUAGGAUUGCAGCUUUCAGAUGACGUGACUUCCCAUGUGAAUAUAUUUACUGUGAAAUGUACGUGCUCCUCCUUAUAUCAUCAGACCAAAGGUCAAUGCUUCCAGAUCAUGAGGUAGGUUUGUUUUAAGGUAGACAGUUUCUACGACUUUGUAGCAGAACACAGGGCAGUAUACUGAGGCUCACCGCGUGAAGUCGCCUUUUGAUUUCCUAAUCCCAGUGGAUUAAGCAUCCGUUUACAGCUGGGUGGACAAGCAAGGGCUACUCAACAGUGAGAUCAAGGAAAAGUUGAAGCCCCAGCUUUCAAUGCAGGGUUUAUUCUCUCUUGCCCCUCUCUUACUGCACAAGCAGUUUGCCCCUCACAUGCCCUUGGACUUUCAGAAACCAAGAGAAAACAGGAACAGGCAGGCAGGGAAACCAACGAAAAAAGAACGGAAAAAAAAGACAGGAAUGUUGGGAACAUGAGUGAAAAUCAGAGGGAACAAAGUGGGAGGGAGUGGAAUGCAUUGGAAAAAAUGUGGGGGACAGCCCCCCCACACUAUCAUUUAGGGAUGAGGUUGUCUCUCUUCCUUAACCUAUAGUUGCUCUGUAUGAUGCCCUAGACUUCUUGUGGAGGAAGGGCAGGGUAUAUAUCAAAUAAAUAAGAAUAAUAAUAGUUGUUGCCUGUAAUAAGCAAUUCAUGUAUCAUUCACAACACGUCAGGAAUAAGGCCCAGGGCACAAAAUAAUAUCAAUACAUCUAGCUAGCCUUCCCUUUGUGCCUCUCUGAGGCUGGAUCAGCCUACAACAUUUUGUAGGUUAAUUUAAUGUUUCAGUGUGAUGCAGCUAGAAUUGUGCACUUUAAAGUCCCACUAAUAAAAAAAAGGAAGAGCUAAACAAGCCUGGAUAGCUCAGCUGGUUAGAGCAUGGUGCUGAUAACGCCACGGUUGCAGGUUCGAUCCCUGUAUGGGACGGCUGCAUAUUCCUGCAUUGCGGGGGGUUGGUCUAGAUCAGGCAUCCCCAACCUUCGGCCCUCCAGAUGUUUUGGACUAUAAUUCCCAUCAUCCCUGACCACUGGUCCUGUUAUCUAGGGAUCAUGGGAGUUGUAGGUGAAAACAUCUGGAGGGCCGCAGGUUGGGGAUGCCUUAGGGUCCUUUCCAACUCUACAAUUCUAUGUUCUAUAUGCUUGAAUCUCUCCCAUCGAAAGGGUCAGAGGUAGAACACAAGUCCCAGGUCCAUUCCCAGGUAAAGCUGGGGAAUACCUUGGAGAGCUGCUGCCAGCCUGUGUUGGUACUAUUGAGCUGGGCCAAUGGACUAACUCAGUACAAGGCAGUGCCCUCUGAUCCUUUCCAAUGGGCUUCAUGUACAGUACUAUGCUGCUAACUCAAGCUCUAUUGUAGCCCGUGUUAUUAAUUUAGGCUUCUGUGUAUUUUCUCAAAAUGUCACUUCCUUUUAUGGUGGUUCACCUAAUUGACGUUAAUGCACAUAAUGUGUAGGGACUUCUGUAAAAUGUCUCCCAAGUAGCUGCAAAGAGAAUAGCUCCACAUAUGGCUAUGAAUAUAUGAGUAUUUAAAUGUUUAUGAUGGUGGCUUGUAGAUGUCAAAUGAAAUCAUUAUGCAUAAGGUAUUUUUAAAAUUUGAUUUUUUUAAAAUAAAAAAUGUAUCAUUUUCUAUUAUAAAAUAAUGUGUAGGACUUCAUAUCUGGCCCCUUAAGACUAUAUCGGGAGGUCGGUGUGGGGAGGUGGGGAAAUGCACUAAUUUUCCUUUCUCUACAAUUUUAAACCUUUCAUUUUCAAAUUCAUUUAUAUGAAACCAGGUCCCUAUUUUUCAUGCUUUAGUCACUGGUGUUGCUGUUGUGACGCUGGUGUCAAGUGUGCAGUAGGUAAUAAUAAAUAAAUAAAUAAUAAUCAUAAUCAUAUUUGUACCUUACACAUCUGUUUGGUUUGAUUAUGAAAGCUCAAAUGAAAUGUUGGAACUUUGCGUGUUCAGACCCAGAGACCUCCUCCCUAAAUAAAUUCACACAUGACUCAAAUUUUGGUUGGGUUUUUGGCAGAAUUUGGCCACAACUUUAUUGAUUACAGAAAGUGAGUGGUUGCAUAGGCUCUGGUUCGACUAGCUCCCUGCACCCUUGCAGAUAGCGCUGACCCAGGGCACCAGCAUACGUCAGCCAAGGGUGAACACCUGGAUAGGCGGAAAGCCGGGAACAGGUUAUGUCCACCACCCAGAUGUCCCCCUGGACUCUGGCAUGGGCACAACCCCCUCACAGGGUUGACCAAACCAUAGAGUCCCUGGAUACCUUUAACGGAAUACCCUUCACAUAGGGAUGGCGAGAGCGUUCUCCCAUCCCUAUCACCUGAACCAGAGCCUAUCCGCAACCUUACAAGUUGUGAUGAUUUGCUACGCGGCAGGCGAAACCCAUAUGGCACCAGCCAAUCAGCCAAGUGGGGAAAAUUCCUGCCGUGCCCCUGUCCCAAUGACAGAUGACACAUGACGGCAUAGCAAGGUCAAGCACAACAAAGCCCUAAAAGUAGGGAGAGGUGGGUUGGUGUUCUGAAUGCACACGCCGAAAGUCACGUGCAUGCAAAUAUAUAGGUCCCUCGAUCCAUUUGGACUGUGCCCAUUGGCCAGAUUGAACCCCAACAUUGAGGGACCUACCAAUCAGCUGUUGUGGCUGACCAAUCUUACCCACCCACAACACAGGGUGUCAGUUUCCAGGGAGGAACCGAUUUCUCAUUUGUAGGUUUAAGAACUGUGAGUACUGUCUAGGGUGUAUCAAUUCAGAAUUUAAAAAAUAUAUACCUUUUUAAAGACUGGCAUGCCUUUGACCCCCAACUUCAGGGUCCAGAGAAAAUGGGAUGGAAAGGCUAAGGUAAUGCAUGGGUACUCGGAGGUCAAACUUUCUCCUGUCAUCCCUGACCAUUGGUAAUUCUUAGGGCUGCCAUACACCUGGAAUUUCCCAGAUAUAGCUGGGAUUUGCCCCCCAUAAAAAGCGUCUGGGCAGAAAAAGUUCAACAACUCUUGUGCCCAGAUUUUCACUUUUUGAAAUAUGGCAACCCAAGUCAUUCUGGCUUGUGUGGUUGGCUCGAACAACAUUUGAGGGUGCUAAGCAUGAAGUUUACCCAGGAAGCACUGACAUAGGAGAUGGAUAUGGAGGGCUAAGGGUCCCACAUAUCCAGAGCCCACCCAUGUGGGUGCCCUAACUCUUCCCUUAAAUGGAAAGUCUGGGCGGGAAAUAUCUUGCUAGAAUCAGACUACCUUUAGGAAAUAGAUACCUGUGUUCAUUCUGCUUACCUUACUGGUUACACGCCAUUGUCUUCUUCCAUUUUCCGAUAAAAUCCUUACCAAAUCUGGCACAGUCUGAACCUUUGUGAAGCUUUCAUGUUCCAUCAGAUUAUGUUGAUAAAAGCUUGAGUGAACAAUACAGAAAGCAAAGCAAGGCAUCUUAAGUCCUUGGAACAAAUCUGACCCAAAUAUUUGCUUUUCACAAUUGUCCCUUCUGAGACGUAAAGGUCAGGGGGGGGGGAAUUACUCAGAGACAAAGGUGGUUGGGUGUCAUCCCAUAGGAUGGUGACUUGGCUUAUUCCACACCUCUUUCUGUUUCACACUUCCUCCUGACUUUGUGAAACUCACUGCAGAUCAGUUUGCACAUUCUGAAAAAGCACAUUGAAUACCCUCCACUCAUAGGGGCUGUUUUAAUCUCCCACAAUAUCACAGAGAGAUGUGGCAUCGGGGACAUCGGGGACAUUGUGGAAAAUUUAAAUAGUGGCUUUAUAAUUCUCAUGAGCCUUCCUGUUUUGGAAUGUGGACAUCACCAUGACAGUAAGAACUACUACUGAUAAAAAGCUUAUUGAGUAACACUUUUGCAUAAAUACUGUUUUUUAAAGCUGCAAAUAUUUAUUUUGCAUCUUCUUAUACAGUCAUACCUCGGUUUAAGUACGCUUCGGUUUGAGUACUUUCAGUUUAAGUACUCCGCGGACCUGUCUGGAACAGAUUAAUCCACUUUCCAUUACUUUCAAUGGGAAAGUUCACUUCAUGUUAAGUACGCUUCAGGUUAAGUACAGACUUCCGGAACCAAUUGUGUACUUAAACCGAGGUACCACUGUAUAGAGCUGGACUCUGCUAGCCUGUUUUGGUAGUGGCAUCUUCAGUUUGCCAGAUUCAUUGCACUGAAGCAAAAUACUUUGAAAAUACUAGCAGUCGGGCUCUCUGCACAUCACAAUGCCGUGUGCAUGGAAUGUGUGUGGCAUUGGGGUUAUGCAUGUUCUCCCUGCCUCUCAGAUCAGCGCAUUUUGAUGAGUGCAGUCCUAUACUUGUCUACUAGAAGCAAUCCCCAUUGAGCUUAAUGAAAUUCACUCUGCACCCUAAGGCUCCCAAGCAGAGAGAGAACAUGUGUAGGCUGUGUGAUUGGGGUCCCCAAUUUAGGCUGCAGUCAGACCACCUUCAGCUGAACAUGGGGAGGCUGCAGCCACUUAGAGGUUUAUUGACAGGAUAUUAGUUUUGUUAAAUAAAAUAAGACAACUAGAAUACUAAGUGAGGCCGUUGGUUCAUCUAUCUCCAUAUUGUCUCUAUAUACUGACUGGCUACAGCUCUCCGGGAUUUCAGAUAGGGGGUCUCAUUCAGUCCAGACACGGGUCUCACCUGACCCACAGACUUGUGAUCUUUCUGUAGAUUGGAAGCAGAGACUAUGGAUGCCGUUCUGCGCCAUCCUUCCCACAGAAAUUGGAAAAAAGAGAGAGCUUCUGAUGCAUAAAUUGAAGUGUGUGGCAACAGUGACAUGGAAAGUCAGAAUUCAUUGCUUCAUUUGUUCAUUGAAAAUACAUUAAAAUAACUAAUCUUUCUUGUUCUUUUUCUUUUCAAGAAACCCCAUGACUUGCUUGUUGGAAAAUAAGAAAGUGUCAAGGGAGCAUGGCCAAUUGAUGCUGAUGUGAAGCAAGCUUGUCUUUUUUCUUCAGUUGCUUUUUCUUCUUCUGAUGUUUUGUUUAAUGUUCUCUGUCAGCAUCUUUCAGAGAGAGAUGGAUCAAAUUGGCGGAGAUUGUUUAUCUGCUAAGGGCUAGCACAGGGUUAUGAUGCAAGGGUACCUCCAGAUAUCCACAGAUGGGUCCAAGACAUUGUGGAGUUUGAGGAGAAAAAUCAAGAUGGCACCCCAGUGAGAAAAAUAAAAACAUAUCUUUUGCUUGGGAUGGUUUUAGUCUAUUCUUGCUUGUUCCUUAGCUAUUGCUGUUUUGUUUCUGCUUUUAAGGUAAAUCUUUCUUAUCCUAAAAUCUAAUUCACGUUGUUCAUCUCCACACAAAGACUAGAAAUCAACAACUUCUCCAUAGGCCUCAUGCUAAAUUCACUCCCCCCUCUUACACACACACACACACACACACACACACACACACACAAAAGUAAAUGAGGUGAUAGAGCCCUGAUACAUUGAUCAGCCUAUUUUGUUAUUGCUCAUUCGAUCCCUAUCCUGCCUUUUAAUUCAGAAGGACCCCCAAAUCCUACAGGAAAUGAAAUACAAUCAUACUGAGGCAGCUUCUAUGCCCCACAACAUCUGUCAUCGCUCAUAGAAUUCCCUCACAGCAAAUCUAGUUCUUAGUAGGCCAUUUGACUGUUCCCAUUACAUUCUGUCCUGACUCGCACCCCUGCUGGCAAUUUGGUGUUUUGUUGUGUGGCUGUACGCUCUCUUGAGUGGGGUGCCACAAGUAGGGCUUGUUGCACUGAAAAUCGCUGAGGUUUCCCUACUCCUGGUGUAGACCAUGCCUCAGAAGAUUGAAACCAAUUUCAAAGCAAAGCUGCCAGUGAUAAGUUACCAGAGGGCAGAAACAGCAGCUGUGGCAAAGUCCCACAAAUAUUUUCCUGAGGCGCCGGUUGCAGGACAACCUGGUGGGGGAAAUAACGACCGCUCUAUGCGAGACUUCAUCUUGCAUCAGUUGCUGCCACAUAAGUUAUUCUGAGCUCGUUGUCCCACUUUCCUCUUCCCAUAUGCCAUCCUUCGAAUGUGAAGAUGAGUAGGCUUUCAAAGUGGCCGAGGCAUCACAAUGGAAGGAAAAUUGUGUAAGAGAAGUUCAUGAUCCAGGAUGGCAGGGACCCUUCAGUCUCUGAGUACGGUAGUUGUAGCUGUUACACCCUGUUAUGAAGUCUUUACAUUAGCGCUCGGCGUUUUCACAUUGCCUCCUUAAUCUUUUUAUCAUUUUCUCCUGCUUCCUCUUGGUAAUAGGACUGAACCACCUUAAAUUGUUUGUCUACAGAAGAGGCACAUGUCUUUUGGCUGAAGCUGGUGGUCACAUUCCCUUCUGUGGAAUGACAAAACGGAGAAUUUACAGCCAGAAGUGAUUGUCUCGGCCUUGUGGCAGGACUGGGUAGUGUGUUCCAUCUUGUGGGAAAUUGGGUGAGCGGGAAACUUGUGACACUGCGGUCUCUUUAGUUAUCUCUCAGAUUAAUAACAAUCCUUGAAUGGCGGCAUAGUCACUUGUUGUUUCCCCCACAUUUUAAUUUUGUCCUCCCCACUCAUUUUUUUUAAAAGAAAAGGACAUCCUCCAACAGUGGCAUUGAUAGCUUUGAAAGAGGGAAACUGUCUUCAUUGUUCAGCCAUUCUCAAAGUGUAACUAGGGAUGAAGAAAGACAGUCCCCUUCAACAGUUAUUGCCACAGCGGGUUCUUCACUUCUUUUGAGAACCCAUCUUUCCCGCUUUUCUCAUGCCCUUGUGUACUAGAAAACUGAAAACCACAGUCUUACUGUUCUGCCCAUGUGUCAGGUGACCUGUCCAUUGAAAUCUUUUAAAGAGUCUUGGUCAGACCACACCUGGAGAAUUGUGUCCAGUUCUGGGUGCCACAAUUUAAGAAGGAGGUCGACAAACUAGAACAGGGGUGGCCAACUCCCAAGAGACUGCAAUCUACUCACAGAGUUAAAAACUGGCAGUGAUCUACCCCCUUUUUUGGGGUUCAGGUCAAAGUUGUUGAGCUAUUUUUAGGACUGAGGAAGGCCGUUUUUCGGGUCCGGGUCAAAGUUGUUGAGUUUUUUCAGGGGGGAGGUAAAUCGUUGAGCUUUUUUAAGGGCAGCCACAGUUGUUCAGCUUCUUUGGGGGGAGCCAAUGAUCUACCAGUGAUCUACCACAGACGUCCAGUGAUCUACCGGUAGAUCACGAUCUACCUGUUGUACAUGCCUCAGCUAGAAUAUGCGCAGAGGAGGGUGAUCAGGAUGAUCAGGGGUCUGGAAAACAAGCCUUAUGAGGAACAGUCGAAAGAGCUGGGUAUCUUUAGCCUGGAUAAGAAGAGACAGAGAGGAGAUAUGAUACCCAUUUUCAAAUAUCUAAAGGGCUGUCAAAUGAAAGAUGGAGCAAGUUUGUUUUCUCCUGCUCUGGAGGAUGGGACCCGAACCAAUGGAUUCAAGUUACAAGAAAGGAGAUUUUGAUAGGUGUAGAUAUUUGAAAAUGGGUAUCAUAUCUCCUCUCUGUCUCUGGAGAAGCUGCCUCAUUAACUCCAGUAGAGGGGGCAGGUCAAUAUUGUAUGCAAAUAUACCUGUGUGUAGAACAACUUUUUUCUAUUUAAAUAAACAGGGCAAUGAUUGUGGAGCGUGUAAACUUUAUGCUCAGUUUGGAACUCCCACACUAAAUUGAAGAACUCCUCGACUAUUGAGUUGCUACCCUCCCCCCAUCUCCCCAAAGCUAUGAAGAUUUUUUUUUUGCAUUUCCCCCAACACCAAUAUUAAAGGUUUGCAAUUCAUGUGGAUGAAAGCCUUCGUCUGUCAGUGGAAGUUUGUCCAUCUCUGGGGUAAAAUACAGGGAAUUUAGGAAGAGAGGAAUGUAAUUUAUUACCAAUGUUUGGAAACCAGCCAAGAUACUGAGAUUAAAACCACUCAUCAUACAAAGGGUGCCUUGGGAUUUUUAAAUGACCGCAAAUGAUCAGCUCAUCAACUCUUUAGCCUAAAACCCUCCACUGUGAAUAUGCAUUUUCCAAUAAUAAUUAGACUGAUAUUCAGGUAAUCAUGGCAAUGCCCUCUUUAAUUAGAUAAGGCCCUCGUUCAGAUUUCCCGCUGAGGUGUUUCAUAUAUUGUUCACCUGUUGCCUUUGUCUGAGGGUCUCUUAUUGAUGUCAUCUGAGUUUACAUGAGGAUAAACAGGCAGGCUAAGCCUACAGUUCUGUGCCAGCUGCUGUUACAUUGAUCUCAAACUAGCAUAGCACAGUCAUGAUCUUCGGUACUUCCCACAGCAAAGAAAAAAGCACAAGAAUAAGAGACAAGAUAGCUGAAGGAACAUCUCCAUUCCUAUUGUUCAGCCGGGACACUGAGAUCCAGCACCGAGGGCCUUCUGGUGUUUCCCUCAUGGUGAAAAGUGAAGCUACAGGGCCUUCUUAGUAGUGGCACCCACCCUGGUAUCAGAUGUCAAGGAGAUGUUUCAAACUUCAGUGCCCAUCAGCCAAUGGACAGGGAUGAUGGGAGUUGUAGCCCAAAAUCUCUGGAGGACAUCAAACUGAUACACCAAUGAAAGCUUUUAAGGACAGAAGGGUCCUGCCAAGACCAAGGAAUGGGACAACCCUGCUGCUGGAAAGCACCCAACCAAAGGUGCUGCUGAUGUAGAGUUGCCCUGUGCCAAAGAAAUUGGAUGGUCACUCUGCAAGUGUAAACACAGGCUUAAAGAUAUGCUUUGGCUUUUAUAUUUAUUUCCCCACUUCCUUAUGGAAAAAAGGCAUUCUCAGUCCCAGUUUUCAGGGCCUGCAGAAGCUUAAGAAGAGGCAAGACUAUCCACCCAGCCCAGAUUGUUGAGGGGUCUUAAAAGAAAUAUCCAUGGUUCCAUUUGUUUUCUUGUGUUAUGUGAAACACGUGCCAGGAAGCAGAGCCAACCCUACCAUUAGGAAGAGUGAGGUGCCUAACUAUCUCAGGCAGCAUACAUUGGGGAGCAGAAAAUGGAAUCAAGGCACUAGGAGGGCAUAGCUGUCUUCCUAAGGUAGUCUGUAGAGCUCAGGUGUGGCAGAGAAAGCUUCCUGUUGCCUGUGUUGAAGUAAGAUCAAAUAGCCAGUCUGGUUGGCUACCCUGAGUGGAAUGGGGAUCACCAUCUUGUCCUCCCCACCCCACCCCCUGCAGCAAAAAGUCAGCUCUGAUCAGGAAGAGCCUGUGAAUGGAGAAUAAUGUGUCUGGUCAGAGUUUAACAAUCAUACCAGCAUGCAUGAAAUUGGUGCUAUGCGAAAACAUUUCCAGGACUGGGACUACAUGGUAACUUGAAGAUAUGCCAGUUAGUGUAUAGCCUAUAUCUUCACUUUUGUUUUGUUACUGCACUGUUUUGCCUAAAAAACCCACAACAGCAGAGAUGGGGUGCACAUGGAAGACCCAUUCACAAACCAUUAGGAUCAUUCACAGGUGGGGAACUGGCUUCUACUUUAUGCUAGCUUUGCAAAUCUAAAUUUGCUUGUGGAUGUUGAAAUGAGAAAAGCUUGUGCCGAAGUGCACUUAAAAAACCCAAAAAACUAUUUACAGUCUUCAGCAGGAGAUAAUAAGACCAUCCAGAUAACCUGUUGUCUUUUAGUAUGGAGGGGAGGCGGACCAUAGCCACAUGACUGUGUGGUUCAGCUUGGUAGUCCAUUGGGAUUUUUAAAUUUUUUUUAAAAGAGUGGCAUUAGACAACUGAAUUAAACUCAUAUUUCACACAUGAUUUGAUUCAAAGUCAGAGCUUAUCCACACUUUCUAGGUGCAGGUCUGUGCUUCAAAGCACUGUGUCCAAGUGCCCUGGCACUUUCCCCAUGAAAACCCACUCUUUACUGCUGAAAACAAUUCCACAGAGAAUCCUGAUUGCUGUUUGUGCUGAUUCAGCAGACUGUGGCUAGAAAGCAAAAGGCUCCCAUAACUGGGUGGUAGCCCGUGUUCAGCCCGAUUGGUUGCAAGCACUACAGACUUGAAUUCUACCCCAAUUCCAGUCUUCCAGGUGUGAGGGCCUGGGAAGAAGAAGAAAAGUGUUCUGGGUCUGAGCCUGUAAAUCCCAAUAGGUGCAACAGGGAUGGCUCACAAUAUACAGAAAGGAGGAAAUUCCUUGUUGACACAGGUGAUCGGUGCUAAGUGGCCAAAAUUGAUAGAAUAAUAUCAGUGCUCUCCAGCUACCAAGAGCUGCCAAGUUCAACCUACCACAGUGAGCUUGCUUUCUCCAGCUCUGUGUUCCACAGGAAGCAGGUUGUGUUCAGCUAGUUGCUUGAAGGAUGGAUGGAGGUUGUAUUCAGCAGAUGUCACACCACCAAUAAAGAAUGGCUGGACUAGAGCAACUGCCUGGAUUUAAUUUUUUGAAGCAUACAAAAACAAGGUCCCCCUGGAUUAAAUGGGAAGCACACACUUGUUACGGUGCUUAGGAUCUGCACAUGCAAACCAUCACUGGGUGCGUGUUUCAACUGGCAAUGAACAUUCUUGUGAGAACCAGCCGGGAGAGUGGAAUAUCUGCUACAACCAUUUGAAAGCUUAGUCCUGAACACAAAAAAGCCAUUUCAAGUAAGCAAACCAAAGUCUUCCCUGCACUUAAAGUUUAGGAAGGCCCUGGGAUUCCAAUGCUACAACAUUGUGGGAAGUUAAAGAACUUCAUACUCAUCUAAAGUCUGGAUUCGCCCAGUGUGGCUGGGGAAACCCAGCCAGAUGUGCAGGGUAUAAAUAAAAUCUUCAUCCUCAUCCAUCAUCACCAUCAUCUUCACUUGACCUGUUCCAUCCCCACUCACCCAAUAAUCUUUUACCUGGUCUCCUCUGGUGAAUAAUAUUUGGCUGCCAGGUGACUAGGCAGGCAUGCUUCACAAUUCUCUCUCCCUACUCCCUGUUUUUUUAAGCACAUAAAUGACUCAUCAUAUUUGUUCUUCCAUGCAUUUGCUCUUAAUAGACAAAACAUAAUGUAUAUUGUUGGGGAGACUUUGGCAAGAAAACAUCACUUUCCUUGGUCCUGAAUGUCAAGCUCAAACCAAGCAUUAAAUCUUAUAAACAAUGAUAUGACAAAGACAUUCCUCCCUCUUGCUGUUUUUAUUACAGUAUUGUCAGGCUACAAUUUAUUGUCUGCAUUGUUAUACAAAGCAAGUAUCUCAAAGCAGUUGAAUAACAGAAGAUCAAACCUAUCCAUUCUGAAGGAGAUCAGCCCUGAGUGCUCACUGGAAGGACAGAUCCUGAAGCUGAGGCUCCAAUACAUUGGCCACCUCAUGAGAAGAGAAGACUCCCUGCAAAAGACCCUGAUGUUGGGAAAGAUUGAGGGCACUAGGAGAAGGGGACGACAGAGGACGAGGUGGUUAGACAGUGUUCUCGAAGCUAUGAACAUGAGUUUGACCAAACUGUGGGAGGCAGUGGAAGACAGGAGUGCCUGGCGUGAUCUGGUCCAUGGGGUCACGAAGAGUCGGACACGACUAAACGACUAAACAACAACAAAUUUAGGCCUGUAUUUCAAAAAUUAUAACUUCCCACUACAGAACAUCAUGUUUCAUCUCUCAUCAACCAGGAUGGCAAUAAUGGUGACCAAGGAGACAAUAGAAAUGCUGCUCCUCUGCAGGCAAGUAGAAGUUGAACAACUGCUGAGGUUUUUCUCUAUUGCCGCAGUUUUCUCCGUGCCAGGAAAAGUCACGUUGCUUGCUCAUGCAAAUUAGAAGUGAAAGCGCGAAAGGCACGGAGGUCAACAUUAGAUGGCGCUGGAGCCAAUGACAAGGGGAGCUAACUAAUUCUAGUUUUGUCUCGAUCUUCCUCUCUGUUGAGUUCUAUACAGGCAACAGUGGGAAUAAGGAGGAUGAAGUUUGUAGGCAGUGACAGGCCCCUAGGUAGUUUGUAAGUAAGAAGGAAGGCAGGUUAGGUAGCUAGCUGAGGACAAAUCGGGGUGAUAGUACACACCCCUCUGCCUUCAUUGACCAACCUCAACUAGUCCCUUGAAAUGCUUUCAGGUAAUGAUUUAAGCCUGCAGGAGCCAUGUCAGGAAAAGGCAAGGAGCUGAGCAUUAUGAGCAGUAGCGUUCAUCAUUGCAACAUGUCCCAGAUGAAAAUUUGCAGUCUCAGCAGUGUGCUCUCCCUGUCAGAAACAACAAUAACAAAGAACAAAUUGUGGGGGGUCACGGCCACAUGGACAGAGUUCUUCCAGGAUUUUCAGAGGACUAAUAUCUAACUGGACAGAACCUUAAAAUAGCAAACUGUCCAGAAUAACAGGGGACACCUGGCCAACCUAUUUCUAGAUCUACCUGGAGAUGCCAAACAUUGGGCUGACAACAUUCUGUAUGCAAAGCUCUACUGCUGAGCGAUAGAACUGUCCUGAACUUCUUACCAAGUGUGAAGAAAUGGAGUUGGUUGGAUAGGCCCAGCCCUGCAGAAAUCCAAGCAUCUACAACAAGGGCAUUGGGUCAGCCUGGUAACUGGCCCAUCUAUCUGCUAUUACUUUCCCAGACUAAACCAUGGAGCCACUCUUGGAAACUGGCUCCAGGAGUCUAGCACUGCCCCACUGCUGUGUUUUCUGCCCUGCAUGCAGAUCAACAGUUUGCCAGCAAUUUGCAAAAUUAAAGUUAGAACAAACAGUUUGUUCAGGUGGAGCCAUUAAAUCUGCUGCUGUUGCAGGUCUCAAAACUACUGGAAGUAGUGAAAACUGGAAGGAGAUUUGGAAUAGAUCGCCCAAUAAACUGGUGUAUUUAUUUACAUUGGCAUGGUUUUCUGCUGUAGGGAACCCUGUUCCAAGAGGUGUUAGUCUGGGCAUGGUCAGCCCUGGCAUAGAGUUUACAUAAAAUGAAGAUUCGGGAGAUUACUGGGCACAAGAACAGGCUUCAGGAACAUUAUAAAUGUUAAAGCACUUAAGAAUGUUAAGCCAGCAAGAUUGCCGUUUGCUCUGAGCAUUCUAAACACCUCUUUGGAAAAGAGAAUUUGGCAUUUGUUCUGGAACGGCCAAGACAGUGUCUCAUUGUCCUCAGGGACUGGGCUGUGAGAUGGCCGGCAGCCACUGAUGAUACGUUUGGCAGAGACCUCUAUAGUUUUGAGAGACCAAUUGUUUUGCUAGGACCCAGCAUUGCCACUGUUCAAGCUGUGAACCAAACUACGUGAAGACAGAAAUCCCAUGUUAACCCCAGAAGCUCAGCCAUCAUGGCUAAACUGUUCCACUUGCCCCCUUUGUCUGUCUUCUGCUGGCAUUGAAUGCGGUGCACACUUAGCAGAGCCUCUUUCCAACAUGAUUCAUUGGAGGGGGUCUCUCGCACACCCCAGUUCCUUGCACAACUGCUUCACAUACUGCUGGAAUAAUUAUACCUGUACUGGUUCAAUAUGUUCGAGAGUACACAAUGGCAUAUCUCCUCUCAGAGACUGUUCUUAAUUUAUUUAUUUUUUAAAUGUUCCCUGUGGUUCCAUGUAAAUUGACUACGAAGGUUUGAGAGCUGAAGCUGGUUUGUGCCUAGUGUAUUUUGCAAGAUCAGGUCCAAUACUAAUAAGAAUCAGUUAUUCAGAGACUUAAAACAACCUUUCUGCUGAUAAAUGAUGAUACCCAACCUGCAAAUAUAUUCCAGGAACCUAGCUAUUAAUGAUAAAUUAAUGUGUGCUAUCAAGGUAAGACAGGGAAUACGGAGAAGAAAUGAUUUUGAGGAGAUAUGGAAGGUUUGCAGAAAUUGUAUUGUUAAAACGGAAAGGGGGUCAAACCAUCGCAAGAGGUGUUGACAUUUUGGGAAGUUGAAUAGUCACAAUAGAGUGGUCUUGGGGAAGGGGGUGCAUGUUUUUAUUUAUUAUUAUUGCUUUGUUUAUUUUUUUAAAAUAAAAUAUUUCGGGAAAUCUUAGCAAGAGGUCAUUGAGUCCACAUUGCCACAGUGAAGGGGAACAAACGUAAAAAAAAAGGUAACUGCUACAUAAAGGUUCCCAGUUUUGAACAUUUCUCUCCCAUUUGUCAGCUGAGAAAAAAAACUAAAAAAAAGUGGGGGUACUUAAGGUACAGUAUGGUAAUUAAAAACCAAUACAGACAUUGUUGAACUCCAAUUCCCAUGUGCCCUAACCACUGGCCUUGCUGGCUGGGGUUGAUGGGAAUGUGAAUGAGCAUCAUCUUGAGGACCAGUUUUUUCAACACUGGCUAAAAGUUGCCAAGAAGAACAUCAGUGGCACUGCAAGGUUAGCAUCACUGGAUAGUGCAUCCCAGAGAUGGGAUGCCACCACUGAAAAGGCCCCGUCUUGGGUCACUACUUGCAUCAUCUUUGACGCCAGAGGUAUCUGAGGAAGAUUUCCUAACAUCUGGGCAGGGGGGCAAAUUAGAAGUCAGCAGUCCUUAAGGUAUGUACCGUGUUUCUCAUAUUUUAAGGCAUCCCUACAAAAUAAAGCAUGGCAGGAUUUUCCUGAGGUGGAAAAAUAUAAGGCAUACCUCGAAAAUAAGCCGUACCGGGUGGUGGAAGAAGGUCUGUGGCAAAGAAGGGUUGCUGCUGCCGCGUUAACCCCCGAGACCUGGCUGCAGCCUCAGCGCGCAGCGCGUGCAGCCCCAGAACCCGGCUGUAGCCUUU